AAUCCAGAAGAGGGUGUCAGAUCCUUUGGAGAUAACACGUGGUUUUGAGUCUUCCAACAUGGGUGAUGGGAACUAAACUCAGGUCCUCUGGAAGAGCAUCACUCCUCAACGAUGAGCCAGCUCUCCAGGUUUGCUGUUGUCUUUUUGGUGGAUAAUUUUCAACAUUAAAAUCUCUACCUGUAUUACUUAUUUCUGCAUUAACAAACCAUCUGAUGACUUAAAGGCUUAAAAUACUAAUUAACAUUUAUCAGCUCCCUGAAUAUUUGAGGGCGAGGGAUUCAGAAGCCGUUUAAUUGGGCGAGUCUGACUCAAGGGCUCUCGUGUGGCGGCCAUGUGCAGUGCCAUCAUCUGAGGCUCCACCAGGGCUGCAGAAUCUGUUUCUAAUGUGACUCACGCCUGUGGUUUAAAGGUUGGUGCCGGCUGUUGGCAGAAGGCCUCAGUCGCCUGCCACGGAAACAUCACUGGGCAUCUUGAGCGUCUUCCCAAUGUGGCGAAGCACUUGCUGCACCUCUGGCCUUUCCCCAAGGAAAAAGGUGCCUUUGGCUCUCAGUGUCGGUUUGUGUUGAUGUGUAAGCCACCUGUGGACAGACUGCCUGGGUGCGGUCAAGGGUUUUAUUGUUAGAAAGAACACAGGCUGGGGUGGAUUUCAACCCAGCACAACUGCUUCAAGAGAGUACAGUGUAAGUCAUUGCGGCCUUUUAAGUUGUCGCUUCAGAAAGCACACUGUCAUUUCCCCAGUAUCCCACUGAUUACAUAGGUUAGCUUUACUGAGAAGAAUCGGCAGGAGUCAUCUCGGAGCUAACCAUUAUAGAAUCAGUCAGAGUUCUUAAUCACCAGUAACAGAAUCUGAUUGAAACAGGAAAGGAAUCGAUUGAGAAGGCACCGAUGAGCUCCCAGAAUGACUAGCAGAGGGACAGAGUGGGUAUCAAGCUAAGAAAAUGGGCAUGAGGCCAGGCAACUGGGACGCAGGCCAAGAACACACCCUGGGAAAUGGCCAAGGAUAGCGCCACUGUCCUAGCCGCUCAGAACUCUGUGGUGUUAUGCUUCUUCGGGUCAUUUCCUCUGGCUUCAAACUCUGGGGUUAAGCUCAGUCAUGUGCCAAACGAAUUGGGGUUGAGGGAUAGCAUCUAGGUUUUUCUUUUCUAAAGGGAAGCAGGUGCUGCCAGGUGCUGCUUCACACCGACAUUCUUACUUACCUCAAGCAUGGGAAAGUAUUCCAGGUGCGGAAGUCCCUCGAGAGUGGCGGGUGUUCACUGCAGAGGCAUCCCUGGUUUUUUUGUGUUUGUUUUUUGACAGGGUCUCACUGGGUAACAAAGGCUGGCUGGGAACUCACAGUCUUCCUGCCCCAGCCUUCCUGGAGCUAUGAUAAGAAUAUCCAUGGCUGCUCCCACCUUUCUUCAUGACUUUGGACCUUGGAAUAUUUCCUGUAGGUAAAAGAUGGGAGACAUAAAACACUGUCUCUGUCCAAGAAGACCAUACGUUUCACAAGAGCGGCAACCAGGACCACCUUGCCCAGGUUUGGCACCAUCUACAAUGGGCUGGGGCUGUUUCCAUCAACCAUCAAUCAAGAAAAAUGCCCGAAGACUAGGCUAUAUAGGCCAAUCUUACGGAGGCAUGUUCUCGAUUAAGUUUCUUGCUUCUGGAGAGAACCAGUUUGGAAGGUAUCCUCUGAUCGCCACAUGCAUCAUGGCAUGAACCUCCUCCCUCAGCAUACACAAAAGAAAAUAAAUCUGGACCUGAUUACAUCGUAUCUGCAAACACCCCAUAAAGGAGUUCCAGAAACAAUUGGAGAGAAAUCCUUGAUCCAGUCUUCCCUGCCCCCACAGAGAGGAGGGCCUGACAGCAGGACCUGCUAAGCCACUCUACACUGCACGGCCAUUCUGCCUCCAGAGAGUCUGCACAAAGAGACCCCGCUGAGAUAAUUGCCAAGAUGUGCUUCAGGUAGCUGAAUUCUGCUCACCUCACCCAGCAAGGCCACCUGCCCCGAUGCUGAGCUGCUUCCAGACUUGGGACACAGACCCAGAGGCCCCGCUGUGACUACAAUUUUCUGCGGUUUGAAUCCUGUUUGCUUCCGAGAUGCAGACUAAAUAUCUGACUGUUUUAAUCUUUGGGACACAGAACUCAUUUUGAUUAAAAUAUUAACACCUCUUCACUUAAGAAGGGGGCAGACUGGGGGUUUGACUGUUGCUCAGAGACUGGAACUGGUGUUUGAUAACAGCAAUGUCUGUCACUGUACUGUUACUGGAAUUGACCUAAUGGUAUUUGUAACUGCUGAUAGAUGUUGGAAAAAGUUUGACACACCCUGUAAAAUGUUUGGGUUUAAUGCAUAUGUUAAGAAUUUUAGGUUUUGAUCCCUUUGCGCUGCCCUAAAGAAAAAUGUUGUUUUUAUACUGAUCACACCGGGAUAGUCAGAGAUAGCAUGGCUAAGGUCAGAGAAGGAUUAGAGCGUAGAAGAAAGCAGAGAGAGCAAGAGGAGGGGAGGUUCAAAACCUGGUUCUCCACCUCCCCCUGGGUCACCACCCUCUUACUUUCCCUUUUGGAACCCCUUUUAGGAUUUUUAUUAUUGAUGGCUUUUGAACCGUAGGCCCUUAAUAUGCUUACUAAGUUUGUUCACCAACAGGUGGACUCUCUAGCAUCCAAGCCCAUUCAGGUCCAUUAUUACCAGCUUGAUCUGGCUGAUCGAAGGCCAGAAGAAGCCCCUUGAGAGCGAGUCUCCUCUUGGAGCCACAUAGAACCCAGAGAUAUGCGUGUCUGUCCACAACAGACAUGAGCACCAGCCAAAGGGGUGCGAGGCAAAGCACUGCAGGGAGAAGACCACACAUUCCAUCUCUGGGUCUCCUGAGGAACAUGCCUGAUUGCAUAGAGGUUGAUGUCCAGAGGUAUUGAUAUAAAAACCUAGACCCUCUCCUCCCCAAAAAGAAAUUUGUAAUUUUGAAAAGAAAUUUCUUCUACCAAGUUGGAAAAAAAAAUUUCCCCCACCAAUUAAACUUAGGAGGAUCAGGCCUCUGUUUCUCCCCACUGGUUAAUGCCCACUCAUCUACCAAGAUGACCUUUAACACGCCUCAUUCUAACACUUAAAAAAGGCAGACAUGCUGGAAGCAAAGACCUGUAUUUUGAGAUCUGUAUUUUGUUUACAGCCAUCUUAAGUUCACAAGUAAAAUAUCCACCUAUCCCGGACCUAGGAAAUUAGUCUAGUGAGACCUGCAGGCUCCAGAAACAAUUAGCAUUUCCUUUGUCAGUGAACAGUCAUAGACCCUCAGUGUUUCCUUAUCAACUAGGGAUGUCUCCAAACCUGAAUUCCAGCAGACCCUACACCAUCCCUUCCCCUCCCCUUUACCUGUUUGCUAUAUAACAGCUUCUGAGGAAUAAUAAAA